rnacentral:lncRNA from 1 species
AACAGCGAUUGCUGCAACCAGUCCUGCAGGGAUGAUGACGACUUGCGCUGUGCCCUGGGCGAUGUCUCUCUUGAGAAUUUUGUCAGCAUCAACAGCAGUGUUGAGGUCUGUGGGCCACUGAGUGACGAUGACAUGCAUAGUUA